CACGUAGGGUGCGAGCGUUGUCCGGAAUUAUUGGGCGUAAAGAGCUCGUAGGCGGUGUGUCGCGUCGGCCGUGAAAACCUGCAGCUUAACUGUGGGCUUGCGGUCGAUACGGGCAUCACUGGAGUUCGGCAGGGGAGACUGGAAUUCCUGGUGUAGCGGUGGAAUGCGCAGAUAUCAGGAGGAACACCAGUGGCGAAGGCGGCUCACUGGACCGGUACUGACGCUGAUGCGCGAAAGCGUGGGGAGCAAACGGG
rnacentral:rRNA from 1 species